rnacentral:rRNA from 1 species
GACGAGGGAUCCUAGCGUUGCUCGGAAUUAUUGGGCGUAAAGCGGGUGUAGGUGGCUUGGUAAGUCAGAUGUGAAAGCCCUGGGCUUAACCCAGGAAGUGCAUUUGAUACUGCUAAGCUUGAGUGCGAGAGAGGUUAAUAGAAUACCUGGUGUAGUGGUGAAAUACGUAGAUAUCAGGUGGAACACCGGAGGCGAAAGGCGGUUAACUGGCUCGACACUGACACUGAGACCCGAAAGUGCGGGGGAUCAAAACAGG